AUUAAGCACGGUGGUCACGAGUUGGUUGAAGGUACAAUUCUCUCUACAUGCCAUCCUAUGGUAAGGCUGAAGUACUGCUUAAUGAGAAAGGAUUAACAAAUCAGAGUUUGUUAUAUAUCUACAGUGACUCCACAAAGACCUUCAAAUGAAGAUAAUCUUAGUUUGGACAUAUUCAGUAUCGUUUAUGUAAGGUAGAAGAAAAAUGAUUUAGUUUUCAGGAUAAUGGUAGAGAGGUCAAGGUGCAGAUACCUAAUAAAUCUUCUAGUGGUGGCCUUGUUUCUACUGAAGUUAAAGAGGUGACAGUUCAAAUAUUUGCUGAGUUUGGUCAACAUUAUUGUUUAGUGGUUGACAUUUCUAAAG
rnacentral:lncRNA from 1 species